rfam:Octopus bimaculoides Scaffold40938_contig_40, whole genome shotgun sequence.
GUACAAGCUUCGGCAGUGCAUAUACUAAAAUUGGAAUGAUACAACGAUGACAUUACCACUGCAUAAGAAUGACACGCCUAAUUCCAUAAUUUUUGUAUUUAU